GAGAGAGAGAGAGAAAGGUUAGCAUUGUAAAAAAGAAAGAGAACCAACCUGAAUACCCAUCAAUAGGAGGUUAGUUUAAAAAAAUAACAUGCUACCUACACACAAUGGCACAGUGUAUAAUUUAUUCAAAAAUGAAUGAAAUCAUUCUAGAUAUAUUUCCACACAUAUUUGCUAAACGAGAAAAGGAGUUUGUGAAAACAUUGCAUGACUUUUCAUACAUAACUCAUAUGCAUAUGCUUUUCAGUUACUAGAGACAUCCUUGGAGCAGACGUAGAUCACGCAGGAAAGUAAGGGAGCCCCGUCCCCCAAUAUAUGGCAAGGCAAACUUGCCUGAUGGACUUUAUGACUCAAAGACAUCAUACUGCUCAGAAAACAAAGGCCAUCACAAAACUGAGAAGCAAGCUAUAAACUAGAAUAACCACAAAAGCAUUGAAAGCAAUGGUGUGUGUGUGUGUGUGUGUGUGUGUGUGUGUGUGUGUGUGUGUGUGUGUGUAAUACAGAUGUCAAAAGGAAGUCAGCAGCAGCCACUGGGCUCACAGGGGAAGACACUCAGCUUCCUUAACAGAAGUGAAGUUAGACGCCAGUUACUCAGAGUCUCAAAGAUCCACAAUGUUAAGGAAUGGGCAAAGGUAGAGGUGAGAAUUACUAGAUUUUUUUUUUCAGAAUAAUUUGAUAAUACCUAUGUCCAUGCAAAUAGGCCAGGUGUGGUGGCUUUUCCAUAGAAUGGGGAAUGGAGACAGAGAACCCAGAAUGAGAGAUCAACUUAGCUACAUAACGAAUUUUAGGUCAGCCUGGGCUACAUACACGGACUGCUUUAAAAUGCCAAAACCAAGGGGCCAGCAGAUGACUCAGCUGUCAAGCCCGAGGACCUUCCCCUGGGUUCCAUCCCUGCUUCCACAAGGCAGAGAGAUCUGACCUCCAAACGUUUACUCACAUUCACACAUGCAAUAAGUAAGUAAACAAACAAACAUGUAAAAACCAAACCAGAGGCUGGAGAGAUGACUUAACAGUUAGGAGUAUAUUACUCUCUUGUAAAAAGAGCAUACUGUUCUUGCAAAGGACUAAAGGGUGGUUCCCAGUUGACAACUGUCUGUAGUCUGUAGCUCCAGCUCCAGGGGGUCCAAUAACCUCUUUUGGCCUCAUAUACAUGCACAUGUGCACACGCAUGCACACACAUACACUCACACACACUGAAGAAUAAAAUUGUAAAAUAUUUAGCAAGAACAAUUCACCCUAAAUCAACAAACUUAGCAAAAUAAAACAAGUCAUAAGAAAGGGCUAGGAAAACCUAGGGGUUUGGCCAGCAUCUGGGGUGCAGAGGAGGAUGUGGAAAAAGUGACUGUCCCCUCAUUCUUGGUAGGAAAGUAAAUUGUCACCACCAAGAGCAGUUUGGAAUUAACUUUCAAGUUAUAAACAUAGACACCCUUUGACCCAGUAACCCACUUUGAGGAACUCCCUCAAAGAAUUUACCCACCAAGUGGAGCUAAACAUAACAAACAAAACAGCCAAGUUUAUUUACUGCAUAGUAUAUGCAAUAGCAAUAGCCCAAUGUCUUAAUAGCACACUAGCUAUGUGACAUAUCCAUACAAAGAAAAACCGUACAUUUGUUAAAUACAGGCAAGGAUUCUUUAUAUAUAAAACGCAGUGGGAGGAAAGUAAACACAUAGCUGUAUAGAUGUGUAAAACCAUGCAAAUGAUCUAAAAGAGUGGAUUACAAGGCAAUGAAAAUGGCUGCCAUCUUACCAUAGAGUUUAAAAAGGAGGUGGGGACUGGGGUGGUGAGAAGGCUCAGCAGGUUCUAGGCAGAGAUCUGGGGAGAUACAACCUGAGUUCCCUCCCCAGGACUCAGACUAUAGGCAGGAACAAGCUCUUGACAAUUGUCCUCUGCGUGUGUGUGUGUGUGUGUGUGUGUGUGUGUGUGUGUGCGCGCGCGCGCGCGCGCCAGCAAAAGAAAAAAUGUAUAAUAAAACAAACAAACGGGUACCUGUGAAGGAAGUUCUGGUGAAUUCCCCACUUGACAAUUAAAUGAAGUAUUUUAAAUAUGUAUGCCUUUCAAAUCAGCACUUUUUUCACUGAAACAUUAAAAAUAUCUACGCAAAGCCAGGAGCCUUAGGAAUUCAUUUCACUGUAUUUACACUAAAUCAGACCAAGUGCAGGUCCUUCCCACCCUACAUAAUUAGCUUACUCAAUGGUCAAAGGACACAGAGCUGUUGGAACUGCAAAUGCCCAAGACAGUUAAAAAAUUUCACCGAUGACUUUCAAAAUAGCCUGAGGAAAGUGCGUGGAAGGGCAAGGAGGAGGCUUCUGGCUUUCUUCCCCCUCCGGUUCUGCCUUCCUGUGAAGUGUGUAUUCGGAAAUGAAAGCCUGCUAGGCCAUGAAGCUGAGUACGGCCUGCCCAAGCUGGACCUUGAGGACAGGAUCCUCCCUGCAGCUCCAGAGUCGGUGAGGCCAAGCCUCCAGGGAAAGAGGGAGCAACUCUUUUUCUAAGACAUCGCAUCUUAUGGGUGCAUGGGUGGGGUGCAUGCAGACUUAGCUAGUGGUUUCAGCUAGGUCGUUCUUAGAUUUUUGUUGUUGUUGUUGUUUUGAUUUUUGUUUUACUUUUGUUUUUGGUAGACUUGGAGGCUGACCUUGAAGCUGAGGUAAUCUUCCUGUCUCUACCUCCUAUAGCCUGCUGGCAUUACCAACCCAGCCACUACUCUGGUCAGCCAGUUUUGGUUAUUUUUGCUGGUCGAGCCUCGUAGAAGCGUCCGCUGUGGCUCUGCACUUCCUAAGACCUUGCAAUAGACUCCUAUGCUUUCACAGCGCUCCCUCCCCAACUCUCUGUCUCUGUCUCCCGCCCCCCCCCCUCCAUCCCCUCUUGCACAGGCACACAGAUGCACAGGAAAAAAAAUUAAGGUUGUCCAGUCUUAGUUUUUAACGAUUCUCAAAGUUAGAAAAUUUAAAAAUAAGAUGCUGUCAAUCUCAUAGUUUAACAGUUAAGCUACAUGCUUCUCCUGUCCACAUGAAUGUGUAACGCAAAAAAAAAAAAAAAAAAAAAAAAGGAAUUUCAGAACAUUUGUUUGGGAGUGGUCAUUAACCGUCUCAUGCCUAGAAAAUAGGUAAAAGUAACAAAUGGACAUUUUUCAUUUAUUUGGCAAAUGUUUGAUUGCCUGUUGUGGGCUGGGAACGGAAAAAUGGCAUGGACUUAGCAGACACGGUGUCCACCUCUCCUACUCGGUUUCUACGGGCACUCAAAAAAUAAAAUAAAAUAAAAUAAAAUAAAAUAAAAUAAAAUAAAAUAAAAAAAUUCAGAAAUCUGACCCCCUGCUCUCCUGACGCUCGAUCGAUCCUCACGCUGGAUCGCCGCACGAUCCAGGAGUCCAGUGCGGGUCAGUUUUGCAGCCAUGAGUCUUAGGAGACAGCAAAUCUCCAGGCUAAGAUAUAUCGUAGGCUCAAUCAUGCAGGUACACAGGGGUACACAUUGGUGUCUGUGGACAGAGUCAAGAAGAAAGGAGGGCAUAGCUCAGAGAGCAAAGGGUUUGCUAGGGCAGUGCCUCUUCAGGCUGACACCCGGCUUCAGUUCACAGUCUUGAGGCCUGGACUUGAUUGCGUUCAUCCUUGACCAGGAAGGCCGUAUCCGUCCCAGGAUCGCUGGCCCCUCUACGCAGUGUCCAGACCGCUGCAGGCGUCUGCAGGAGGUGGAAGAGCCUUAACCGCCAUUCCAGAUUCAGGGAGGAAGAGCCCCGCUCUUAGGCUACCCUGGGUCUCGGGGGAAGAGUUUGCUGGCCUCCGCGUCUUUCCUCCGACCUGCGUGCAGAACAGGGGCCUUCACAGUCUCCGGGUCUCAGGAGAACCAGGUUCUCUCAGUUUGUCUCAAAUUAAACAAACCGGAAAAAGAAGGACAAAACCAAAACAAAACAAAACACCCCACAGGCUCCCCCUGUCGCCCCCGAUUAAAAUGGAAUGGGAGAAAUGUAUCCAACCAGGAGAGGAACCGGAGGCAGAGACAGUCGAGCCAUGGCGUCUAGGCCUAUGGGAUGCAUGGAUAACCUUUCUCAAGCCUCAUCGUGAAGAUGAGUUUGGAGGCGGAGCCCGCCUGCAUCUCGAUCCAUACUCUCAGUUCCAGCAUUCCAAAGAUUUGUCCUCAGCACCCAGUCGUUGGGUCCCUUGGAUGUGGGAAUCCACCGCGACUAUGGAGAAGAAAGCUCGAGAGAAGAGAGCCAUUUAACUCGCCCCCACAGUUUUCUGAAAAUGAGUCUUGGGCGGAAAAGAGGUAACAAUGCCACGUUCUGCCACCUGCUUCAGUUUCCUGUGGGGUGAGAGGGUGGUUAGAACAUAGAGGGGGGAAUACAGACUCAAAUCAAGGGCAGCACAAACCAGCGGUGAGAAUGCGGGUCUCCGGCCACCCACAAUCGAAAUAAUAGUGAAAAUAUAAAACGAAACACCACUGAAAAAAGUUAAAAGGACUCCUCGCAAAUACUAAAAAUCUUAAGAAUUAAACUUCAAAUUUUCCGAAAGCGCGAUUUUCUAAACGGUUCUACAGCCCACAACAUACAUAUGUUUCGAGCGUAUGCGGGGCAAGGUUUCCGAAUGUAUCCACAGAGUGAGAUAUGGAGGCCUCCUCAGAGGCCCGGGAUUGGUUGGGGCUUUGCCCAGCUCUCUGCAGUCCAACGCUGCCUGGGGUUUGCUGCACAGCGCCUGCUCAGCAGGACCAGGCUUGAAGCCUGGAGGUCUUCCAGGCUCAGGGGCCAACUCCAAGUGACCAUUCUCCUGGGUUCUCUGUCACGGCUGGCUGAAGGUUUUGAACGGCCAAGUCGUGCUCACAGUUUAAGCUAUUUCAAGUUCAAGGUUCGGUCUUCUCGGGGACCCCCGUGGACCUCUGAGUACCGAGCGCAUGCGUCCAGCUUCUGCUCCAGGGCGUUUUUUAGCCGAGCGGAUGACUAUCCGGGUGGAUGACCGGUGCUUCUCAGAAGGAUCUGCCAUUCAGAGGCAAAGGCUAUGGUAGGCUAGAAACGGGGCGUUUUGUUUGGAGACCUGCCGAGGGGGCAGCAGGCUUCAAGGGGCACUCCUGACAGAGAAGAUUAUUGGUGCCUCUUGGCAUUGACCUUAAAACUGUGGCGCCUUCGCAGAUCUAUCAAAAUCAGUUGAAUUCUCUUCCGGGUUGCUACGGAAAGCACCAGGGUCCGAGGCAAAGGUGGUGGCGGUGGCAGGCUUGGAUUACCAAUUGCAGGGAUCUGUGAACUACACUUUUCCCUCUUCUGGUACCAAUCCCGCUCCACUAAAAGAGUCAGUGUAGGCUUGGCCCACUGCAGGGUGAGAGCAGAGUUGGAGGCCCCAUUCCUUCUGUUGUCGCCUUGUUGAUCGCAUUGGUGAUCCCCUUCCAAGACAAAACAAAAGGUUCUUCCCACACUACAGGAUCUUGACCAAGGGACGGGCACAAGGGAUGCCUUAGAGACUGUGGCUUCCUGGAGGAAGCCUCACUGUGGAAGUCAUCUUGGUGGCACAGUAUUUAUGCCAGCGGCUGGAGACAACGCUUCCAUUUUGAAGGCAGGGUGAGCAGACCAGGGGCUACCAGCUUUGUAUUCUCAGAGGAAAUCUGAGACGUUGGCCAAGCAGAUGGUCUGACUCUCCUUUACCUCUAAACUGCUGGCUUUGCACAGCAGCUCAUUCUCUGGGGCCACGAUGUGUGUGUGUGUGUGUGUGUGUGUGUGUGUGUGUGUGUGUUGGGGGGUAGUUAAGAGAGAUUUCUGACUAACACAUCACACCAGUAGACAGAAUCUGCAGGUCACUCCAGUGCUACCCCACUCCUUCCUUCCACAAAUAUUUACGGAGAGCCUGCAGACUGUUUUCUGUGACAGCACCCUGGAUCCUCAGGCAGCUUCCUGAAGAGGAGGGAAUCCUGGAGGCAGGAGGAAUUACCUUGUGUGGGUACAUUAUAAAAGUAUACCCCUGAAGAGGUACCCGGCAUGCGCGUCUCUACUUGACUUAAAUGGCUCUAUCCCAGAGGACAGAGGGCCACAUUUUACUCCCACCUCUGCAAGUCUGCACCAGAGACAGUCCCACUGAUGCCCACGAGCAAGAUUUAUUUGAUCUACAUAAAGGCUUGCAGAUUCCCUCAACGAAACUCAACUGGUGGUCGCUCCUUGUCCUUAGAACCCCUCAGAUGACAAAAGGGAAUUCAUAUUAACCCCAGGUAACCUACAAGUCCUCACACCUGCGGGGAUUCCU